rnacentral:rRNA from 1 species
GAUGAACGCUGGCGGCGUGCUUAACACAUGCAAGUCGAACAGAGUGCCUUUGAAAGAGGAUUCGUCCAAUUGAUAAGGUUACUUAGUGGCGGACGGGUGAGUAACGCGUGAGGAACCUGCCUUGGAGUGGGGAAUAACACAGUGAAAAUUGUGCUAAUACCGCAUAAUGCAGUUGGGCCGCAUGGCUCUGACCGCCAAAGAUUUAUCGCUCUGAGAUGGCCUCGCGUCUGAUUAGCUAGUUGGUGGGGUAAAGGCCUACCAAGGCGACGAUCAGUAGCCGAGCUGAGAGGCUCAACGGCCACAUUGGGACUGAGAUACGGCCCAG